rnacentral:rRNA from 1 species
ACGCCCCGCAAGGAGAGUGGCAGACGGUUGAGUAACGCGUGGUACUUACCCUUCCCUGCGGAAUAGCUCCGGGAAACUGGAAUUAAUACCGCAUACGCCCUACGGGGGAAAGAUUUAUCGGGGAAGGAUGGGCCCGCGUUGGAUUAGCUAGUUGGUGGGGUAAAGGCCUACCAAGGCGACGAUCCAUAGCUGGUCUGAGAGGAUGAUCAGCCACAUUGGGACUGAGACACGGCCCAAACUCCUACGGGAGGCAGCAGUGGGGAAUAUUGGACAAUGGGCGCAAGCCUGAUCCAGCCAUGCCGCGUGAGUGAUGAAGGCCUUAGGGUUGUAAAGCUCUUUCACCGGAGAAGAUAAUGACGGUAUCCGGAGAAGAAGCCCCGGCUAACUUCGUGCCAGCAGCCGCGAUAAUACGAAGGGGGCUAGCGUUGUUCGGAAUUACUGGCCGUAAAGCGCACGUAGGCGGAUAUUUAAGUCAGGGGUGAAAUCCCAGAGCUCAACUCUGGAACUGCCUUUGAUACUGGGUAUCUUGAGUAUGGAAGAGGUAAGUGUAUUUCCGAGUGUAGAGGUGAAAUUCGUAGAUAUUCGGAGGAACACCAGUGGCGAGGCGGCUUACUGGUCCAUUACUGACGCUGAUGUGCGAAAGCGUGGGGAGCAAACAGGGAUUUAGAUACCCUGGUAGUCCACGCCGUAAACGAUGAAUGGUAGCCGUCGGGCAGUAUACUGUUCGGUGGCGCAGCUAAGCGCAUUAAAAAUUCCGCUUGGG